rnacentral:rRNA from 1 species
GACGGAGGAUGCAAGUGUUAUCCGGAAUCACUGGGCGUAAAGCGUCUGUAGGUGGUUUAAAAAGUCCACUGUUAAAAAUUGAAGCUUAACUUCAAAGAUGCCGUGGAAACUUUUAAACUUGAGUAUGAUAGGGGUAGAGGGAAUUUCCAGUGGAGCGGUGAAAUGCGUAGAUAUUGGAAAGACCACCAAUGGCGAAGGCACUCUACUGGGCCAUUACUGACACUGAGAGACGAAAGCUAGGGGAGCAAAUGGG